rnacentral:lncRNA from 1 species
UUAUGGGGCUGUAAUUCCAUCCUGAAGGCUAUUUGUGGGUCAUGCUUCACUUCUUGUGGUUUAUGACUUCAACCCUAGCCCUCGAUGGAAUUAUAACCCAACAGUCACAGAGACUGCUAUUUAUCAUCUGUUUAUUUUACAACGAAGCAUCAAGUAUAUUUUGGUUUUAAGCUCAUGGAGAACACAAGAAGGAGAAGGAGGCAGAGGAAGAGGAGGAAGAGAUAGAAUAGUUUACCCAAAGCUAAAGCCAUGUCUCCCCAGCUAUAAAAACUGAAUAUCAGACAACGGUCCAGACAUGUUACCUCCACGAUGUUAGGGACUAAUUAGUGACCCGAAUCUCCAUGGUAGCGCUGCAUU